GGCCUCUGGAUCCCCACCAUCUCUCCUCCUUCAGCUCCUUCUCCUCCCCCUCUCCCCAACCUGUCCCUGCCUCCAUUCAUCCAUUCCGACCGCCAUGGUAGGCGCUCCGAUGGAAUGAUCUCCCACGUAAAAGGCAGGACAGCGAUAAUGCACCCCCCUCCCCACUCACACCUCCGCCCCUCCUCUUGCCCCCAUCUUUUGUCACCGAGGUAAUCAAGAAGUCACGCUUGGUCGCGGACGGAGCAACGCAGCAGAUCCUCUCGGUUGGACCGACUCAUUCUCGUCUUUCAAUCUGUGCUUUCGGGCAUCACGUCGAUCUCCCUCAGUCCCAGAGGAGAACCGGGACGGGACGAGGUGGGGGACGACGGAAACAGCCGGGCCCUGGCCCGUUUGGUGAAACCAGGUUGCAGGAAUUGGCCGUGAAGGGACAGUGAAGUGCCUCAAUGCGGAACCGGUGUUUCAACACACACACAAAAAAAAGAGAAAAGUCAAAGAAAGGCGAAAAACAGCUCCUUUUUCCUCAGUGUCCCACUUUUCAGUUGAACUUCCCAGUGGGGGCCCC
ensembl:lncRNA